rnacentral:rRNA from 1 species
AUUGAACGCUGGCGGCAUGCCUUACACAUGCAAGUCGAACGGUAACAGGUCUUCGGAUGCUGACGAGUGGCGAACGGGUGAGUAAUACAUCGGAACGUGCCUAGUAGUGGGGGAUAACUACUCGAAAGAGUGGCUAAUACCGCAUGAGAUCUACGGAUGAAAGCAGGGGAUCGCAAGACCUUGUGCUACUAGAGCGGCCGGUGGCACAUUAGGUUGUUGGUGGGAUAAAAGCUUACCAAGCCGACGAUCUGUAGCUGGUCUGAGAGGACGAUCAACCACACUGGGACUGAGACACGGCCCAGACUCCUACGGGAGGCAGCAGUGGGGAAUUUUGGACAAUGGGCGAAAGCCUGAUCCAGCAAUGCCGCGUGCAGGAUGAAGGCCUUCGGGUUGUAAACUGCUUUUGUACGGAACGAAAAGCCCCGGGUUAAUACCCUGGGGUCAUGACGGUACCGUAAGAAUAAGCACCGGCUAACUACGUGCCAGCAGCCGCAGUAA